CGGGGGGAGCAAGCGUUGUUCGGAUUUACUGGGCGUAAAGGGCGCGUAGGCGGCCACCGCAAGUCGACUGUGAAAUCUCCGGGCUUAACCCGGAAAGGUCAGCCGAUACUGCGGGGCUAGAGUGCAGAAGGGGCAACUGGAAUUCUCGGUGUAGCGGUGAAAUGCGUAGAUAUCGAGAGGAACACCUGCGGCGAAGGCGGGUUGCUGGGCUGACACUGACGCUGAUGCGCGAAAGCUAGGGGAGCGAACGGGAUUAGAUACCCCGGUAGUCCUAGCCUUAAACGAUGAAUGCUUGGUGUCUGGGGUUUUAUAGUCCCCGGGUGCCGUCGCUAACGCUUUAAAGCAUUCCGCCUGGGGAGUACGGUCGCAAGACUG
rnacentral:rRNA from 1 species